GACGAACGCUGGCGGCGUGCUUAACACAUGCAAGUCGAACGGAAAGGCCCUGCUUUUGUGGGGUGCUCGAGUGGCGAACGGGUGAGUAACACGUGAGUAACCUGCCCUUGCCUUUGGGAUAACUUCAGGAAACUGGGGCUAAUACCGGAUAGGAGCUCCUGCUGCAUGGUGGGGGUUGGAAAGUUUCGGCGGUUGGGGAUGGACUCGCGGCUUAUCAGCUUGUUGGUGGGGUAGUGGCUUACCAAGGCUUUGACGGGUAGCCGGCCUGAGAGGGUGACCGGGCACAUUGGGCCUGAGAUACGGCCCAGACUGCUACGGGAGGCAGCAGUGAGGGAUAUUGCGCAAGGGGCGGAAGCCUGAUGCAGCAACGCCGCGUGCGGGAUGACGGCCUUCGGGUUGUAAACCGCUUUGCCCUGUGACGAAGCGUGAGUGACGGUAAUGGGUAAAGAAGCACCGGCUAACUACGUG
rnacentral:rRNA from 1 species